AGUUAAAUCUUGUCAUGCUUAAUUUUGCGGCUGAGUGGAGACUACCAUGCUGGACAGCCCUUUUUUUGAACCCUCCUUGAAUGUGAAAUAUUCUGAGAGUUCUUUGACAAUCUCCCAGUUCUAUAAUCACGUUCGUCUCAGUAGCAGACAGCUGAGUUCUACCUUCCAUAGUUUUCUAUGAUGGUAUUUGACUGGAUCUAGAGUUUAAAAUGUUUAUGUGACUUGUAUAUUAUAGUAGCAAUAGUGGAACAAAUAAGUUGGACUGUCUUAUGCAACAAAGGUUUAUGGGUUUUGGUUUCUGAUCAUCCCCAAUUGCGUAUGUACACGAAUGGAAGGAUGCUGAUAUCUGUUGUUUUCAAUCCAAUGAAAUAUGCAGACAAGGAUUUCUUUCUUA